AAGAAGUUAGUUAAUUAUUUAUAACUUAUGUAUGUCAUACUUAAAUUGUCUUAUAGACACUUCUUU
rnacentral:tRNA from 1 species